UUCAGCGUGUUUCUUGUAAGCAGCGAGAUUUCGCGCUUGGGGCCGAGUUCUUUCUUCCCCUGAGAGACUUCCGUCCCUGGACCCUGAGACUUCCGUCCCCUCUCCCCGAGAGUUCCACACAACAAACGUUUUGGGCUCGUUUUAAAGGCCCAGACUGCUUGAGUGAAACAACCUUCAGAGACGUUCCAUUCUUUCGUUUACCCCGUGCUUACAACCUGAAAACAAAAUUGGAUUGGCACAAGUCGGCCAGGGCUGAGGAAGUGCACUUGAGACCUGACACAAAUGCAUCAGUCCGGAGAAAGAGCCAAGUUCCCAGGUGUCUGCGGAGAAGGCCAGACCGACAGCUGUGGUCACACAUUGCCGUGCUAAUAGCAAUUUCAUGGACUGGAAGUGCUUGUUGAUACUGGAUCCAGACAACUGUUUCCUAAUCUCUUAAGAGGUGAGGACAUGAUCUUCAACUUUUAAAAACCAUAGAGGCCUCCAGGUUUUAAAUGUGACCCACAAGAGCUGGAUAAACUAUACCCGAGCAGAAGUGCAGGAAUCCCUGGUGUCUGUGCUUAAAUAAAAAAGUGUAUUUCUGUGUACAG
rnacentral:lncRNA from 1 species